UACAGAGGUCCCAAGCGUUGUCCGGAAUCACUGGGCAUAAAGGGCGCGUAGGCGGCUUUUCAAGUCAGGGGUGAAAUCCGGCAGCUCAACUGUCGAAGUGCCCUUGAUACUGAUGAGCUCGAGGGAGGUAGGGGUGUGUGGAACUUCCGGUGGAGCGGUGAAAUGCGUUGAUAUCGGAAGGAACGCCGGUGGCGAAAGCGACGCACUGGACCUCUUCUGACGCUGAGGCGCGAAAGCUAGGGGAGCAAACGGG
rnacentral:rRNA from 1 species